CCUACGGGAGGCAGCAGUGGGGAAUAUUGCACAAUGGGGGAAACCCUGAUGCAGCGACGCCGCGUGAGCGAUGAAGGAUUUCGGUAUGUAAAGCUCUAUCAGCAGGGAAGAAAAUGACGGUACCUGUCUAAGAAGCCCCGUCUAACUACGUGCCGGCAGCCGGGGUACUACGUCGGGGGCAACCGUUAUCCGGAUUUACUGGGUGUAAAGGGAGCGUAGACGGCUUGGCAAGCGCGACGUGAAAGGCUGGGGCUCAAACCCAGGACUGCAUUUGGAACUGUCAUGCUAGAGUGUCGGAGAGGCAGGCGGAAUGCGUGGUGUAGCGGUGAAAUGCGUAGAUAUUAGGAGGAACCCCAGUGGCGAAGGCGGCCUGCUGGACGAUGACUGACGUUGAGGCUCGAAAGCGUGGGGAGCAAACAGGAUUAGAUACCCGGGUAGUC
rnacentral:rRNA from 1 species